rnacentral:rRNA from 1 species
AGCAGCCGCGGUAAUUCCAGCUCCAAUAGCGUAUAUUAAAGUUGUUGCAGUUAAAAAGCUCGUAGUUGAAUUUCGGGGGUUAUAGGCUGGUCGUGCCACUGGUAUGUACUGGUCUUACUGAUUUCUCCUUUCUGAAGAACUGUAAUGCCAUUAAUUUGGUGUUGCAGGGAAUCAGGACUGUUACUUUGAAAAAAUUAGAGUGUUUAAAGCAGGCUAACGCUUGAAUACAUUAGCAUGGAAUAAUGAAAUAGGACGUUCGAUCCUAUUUUGUUGGUUUCUAGGAUUGACGUAAUGAUUAAUAGGGAUAGUUGGGGGCAUUAGUAUUCAAUUGUCAGAGGUGAAAUUCUUGGAUUUAUUGAAGACUAACUACUGCGAAAGCAUUUGCCAAGGAUGUUUUCAUUAAUCAAGAACGAAAGUUAGGGGAUCGAAGACGAUCAGAUACCGUCGUAGUCUUAACCAUAAACUAUGCCGACUAGGGAUCGGAUGAUGUUUAAUUUUUAAUGACUCAUUCGGCGCCUUA